UACGGAGGAUGCAAGCGUUAUCCGGAAUGAUUGGGCGUAAAGCGUCCGCAGGUGGCUGUGUAAGUCUGCUGUCAAAGAGCAAAGCUCAACUUUGUAAAGGCAGUGGAAACUACACGGCUAGAGUGCGUUCGGGGCAGAGGGAAUUCCUGGUGUAGCGGUGAAAUGCGUAGAGAUCAGGAAGAACACCGGUGGCGAAGGCGCUCUGCUAGGCCGCAACUGACACUGAGGGACGAAAGCUAGGGGAGCGAACCGG
rnacentral:rRNA from 1 species